rnacentral:piRNA from 1 species
UGCUCCAGUGGGAGGAGCUUGAGUGG